ACGGACUCUUCGGAGUUAGUGGCGGACGGGCGAGUAACGCGUGAGAACAUGCCUAUUGAUUGGGGACAACAGUUGGAAACGACUGCUAAUACCGAAUGUGCCCUUCGGGGUGAAAGAUUUAUCGUCAAUAGAUUGGCUCGCGUCAGAUUAGCUAGUUGGUAGGGUAACGGCUUACCAAGGCGACGAUCUGUACUUGGUCUGAGAGGAUGACCAGGCACACUGGAACUGAGACACGGUCCAGACUCCUACGGGAGGCAGCAGUGGGGAAUUUUCCGCAAUGGGCGCAAGCCUGACGGAGCAAUACCGCGUGAGGGAGGACGGCUUUUGGGUUGUAAACCUCUUUUAUCAGGGAAGAAUCGAUGACGGUACCUGAUGAAUCAGCAUCGGCUAACUCCGUGCCAGCAGCCGCGGUAAUACGGAGGAUGCAAGCGUUAUCCGGAAUUAUUGGGCGUAAAGCGUCCGUAGGUGGCUUUGUAAGUCUGCUGUCAAAGCGUGCGGCUUAACCGCAUACGGGCAGUGGAAACUAUUGAGCUAGAGUGCGAUAGGGGUAACAGGAAUUCCCAGUGUAGCGGUGAAAUGCGUAGAUAUUGGGAAGAACACCAGCGGCGAAAGCGUGUUACUGGGUCUGCACUGACACUGAGGGACGAAAGCUAGGGGAGCGAAAGGGAUUAGAUACCCCUGUAGUCCUAGCCGUA
rnacentral:rRNA from 1 species